UGUUGCCUUCAUUGGCCGUUUCUUAAUGAAUUGGCUUGUAAAGCUAUUUUCUAACGCUACUUGUUAACUGAAAUGUCCUUCAGGAGAAGACAUUUGAAUUCUCCAUGGGAACCCACUGGCUGUGUGCAAUGCUUCACACCAUAAAUCACCUGCAUCCCCACUGUCUGGGAUCUCAGUGAAGAGGUACCUGGCUGCGUGGAGAUUAUGAAGAUUACUUGCUUCUAGAGCAUCAGUGAAGUGUUACCAUUGGUCGGUAUGCCACACUCAGGAGCUGGCAUGAGAACGAAAGAAAAGAGAGGAAGAGAAUAUCAGAGUACUGGUCAUUCCAUAAAGCACAGAGAGAAGAAACCAUUGGGUCUCUAACAAAGGACACUCAAGCUUCAUGCAUGAGUUGUUUCCUACUUGGACCAAGCCAGUUGAGCACUCCUCAGGAGCAAGAAAAGCCUACUCUACCCGAGACAAAAAUGAAAACAAUAAACAAAUUUCCUCACUGGUGCCAUUAUUAGGAAAGACUGAGGAGAAGAAAACCAGAUGGAGCUGUGAGUAGGGUGAAUAUGACAGGAAGCAAGGGCAGCUCGGACGCAUCAGUCUCCCAACGAAGCUGCAUGUGAGCGCCAUUUCCCCUUCACCUCUUUCCUGCCUGUUUGUGGAUAAG